CACGUAGGGCGCAAGCGUUGUCCGGAAUUAUUGGGCGUAAAGAGCUCGUAGGCGGUCUGUUGCGUCCGCUGUGAAAACUCGGGGCUUAACCCCGAGCCUGCAGUGGAUACGGGCAGACUAGAGGUAGGUAGGGGAGAAUGGAAUUCCUGGUGUAGCGGUGGAAUGCGCAGAUAUCAGGAGGAACACCUAUAGCGAAGGCAGCUUGCUGGGACGUUACUGACGCUAAGGCGCGAAAGCGUGGGGAGCGAACAGG
rnacentral:rRNA from 1 species